rnacentral:rRNA from 1 species
UACAGAGGUCCCGAGCGUUGUUCGGAUUCACUGGGCGUAAGGGGUGCGUAGGCGGUCGGGUAAGUCUGACGUGAAAUCUUCAAGCUCAACUUGGAAACUGCGUCGGAUACUAUUCGGCUAGAGGAAUGGAGGGGAGACUGGAAUACUUGGUGUAGCAGUGAAAUGCGUAGAUAUCAAGUGGAACACCAGUGGCGAAGGCGAGUCUCUGGACAUUUCCUGACGCUGAGGCACGAAAGCCAGGGGAGCAAACAGG